AUACGUAGGGUCCAAGCGUUAUUCGGAUUUACUGGGCGUAAAGCGUGCGCAGGCGGCUAUAUAAGUUAGACGUUAAAUCUGUGGGCUCAACUCAUAGGCUGCAUCUAAUACUGUAUGGCUCGAGAGUGGAAGAGGCAAACGGAAUUCCUAGUGGAGCGGUUAAAUGCGUAGAUAUUAGGAGGAACACCAAUGGCGAAGGCAGUUUGCUGGGCCAUUUCUGACGCUAAGGCACGAAAGCGUGGGGAGCGAUCGGGAUUAGAAACCCCAGUAGUCC
rnacentral:rRNA from 1 species